UCCCUGGUGGCUCAGAGGUUAAAGCGUCUGCCUAUAAUGCGGGAGACCUGGGUUCGAUCCCUGGGUCGGGAA
rnacentral:tRNA from 1 species